rnacentral:tRNA from 1 species
UCUAUUUUGGCAGAUAAGUGCAAUGAAUUUAGAAUUCAUUUAUGUAAGUUAAUUUUACAGAUAGAA